AGGAUCGCGAUUGUUCUUCACCGCCUUUCUCCUAUUCCCCGUCGCACAUUUCUCUCCCAUCGCCGUCAGCUCGUCCGCCGCUCUUCUUUCCGUCCUCGUUCGUCGGCUACAACGAACUGGGUUACUGGAUUCUUUAGUUUUCCUCCUCUGUUCAUAUCGCUCUUCCCUCUGCUGUCCAUCACCGAAUAUUCUUUCUUCUCCCCUGUUGGAGUCAUGUAGCAAGUUCUGUCAUUUUAUGUUGUGGAAGCUGGUUUAUGGGUGCAAAAUGUUCGAUCUGUUGGUCUCUCCACUUUCCCCUGUAACGUCGCUGCUUUUCUUCUUCUUCGUCCUAGUUUAAAUUCCAUCGCCGAACGUGUGUAGCUGGGAGAAGCAUAGAUUUUUUCUUCUUCAUUGCUCUACUGGACGUGGCAGAUCUGGUUCAUGAUUGCAGACUGUUCGACCCACUGGGAAUCUUAGAAUGAAAGUUUCACGAAAGAGGCCAUUUGAAAUAAGUAGCAUUACGUGGGAGCACACCAAAUAUCCAAGCUGAUUUCGUACUCCCUGCUGAUCUCUGAUGGGCUCAUUGUUGAAUUGACUAGAAGAUUACUUUUGAGAUAUCAUCUCAUUCAAUGGUUGUUAGGAAAAAGUAUGUAGAUGUCAAGGUUAAGAGAGGGGAUUUUAUGUGAAUGCUGAAUGAUUAUCAACUCACCUUAUUGCAAAGGUAUAUCCAUCAUAAUUAGGUGUCACCAGGCAAAGAUAACAAGUUUGGAUUGCUUUUCUAAAUUCACACUUAAGAGUUUAGAAACACUCCUGAGCUGAGACAUGAAUAUAUAUAUAUAUAUAUAUAUAUCAAAGGUUCUCAAAAGGGAAGGAAUGCUAUGUUACACCAUAUAUCCCCAAGGUUAUGAGGACAUACUAGUAUGUCGAGAUGUGGAAGCACACUCAUAACAUUAAAGACCUUAUGUGGAUCACACCAAAGGGAAUAGCUCAAGAAGUAUGGACGGAGGAAAAUACUAUGAGGCUUAAGAUCACGAUCCAAUUGCAAUAGCCCUUUUUAUUUUGGAUAAUUUAUGUAUAUGAUAAUUUCGAUUGCCAACUAGGAUUUUCCUUUUUAUUACUUACUCACAUUAAGUGAAAUAUAAAUUGUAAUGAUAUUUUAGGCCCUAAGGAGAGAGUUGAUUAUUAUGUAUUAUGUUGAUAGGACCAAAAUACUAAUGCAAGUGAGAGUAGUGAAUAUUAUGUGAUAAUUUGGGAAAUCUUGAUGAAAAUUUAUGGCAAGUAUCCCUACCUAUGUUUUUGGGUUAAGGGAUUGAG